rnacentral:rRNA from 1 species
GGAGUUAGCCGGUGCUUCUUCUGUGAGUGAUGUCCUUCCUGCCGGUUAUUGACCCGCAGGCCUUCUUCCUCACUGAAAGUGCUUUACAACCCGAAGGCCUUCUUCACACACGCGGCAUGGCUGGAUCAGGGUUGCCCCCAUUGUCCAAUAUUCCCCACUGCUGCCUCCCGUAGGAGUCUGGGCCGUGUCUCAGUCCCAGUGUGGCUGAUCAUCCUCUCAGACCAGCUACGGAUCGUCGCCUUGGUGAGCCGUUACCUCACCAACCAGCUAAUCCGACAUAGGCUCAUCCGAUAGCGCGAGGCCCGAAGGUCCCCCGCUUUCCCCCGUAGGGCGUAUGCGGUAUUAGCCUGGGUUUCCCCAGGUUAUCCCCCACUACCGGGCAGAUUCCUAUGCAUUACUCACCCGUCCGCCGCUCGCCACCAGGGAGCAAGCUCCCCGUGCUGCCGCUCGACUUGCAUGUGUUAGGCCUGCCGCCAGCGUUCAAUCUGAGCCAGANANAACAACUCNACNGNGGCGGCGUCGGACGACGGCGACAGUAG